CCCUUAGAUGUUCUGGGCCGCACGCGCGCUACACUGAUGCAUUCAACGAGUUUCUUCCUGGUCCGAGAGGAAUGGGUAACCUUUUGAAAGUGCAUCGUGAUAGGGAUAGACUAUUGCAAUUAUUGGUCUUCAACGAGGAAUUCCUGGUAGACGUAGUUCAUCAGACUGCAUCGAUUACGUCCCUGCCCUUUGUACACACCGCCCGUCGCUCCUACCGAUUGAAUGCUCAGGUGAGCCAUUCGGACCUUCAUCAUGCCGGUUUCCGGUUUUGAUGAGGGAAAGUCUUGCGAACCUUAUCAUUUAGAGGAAGGAGAAGUCGUAACA
rnacentral:rRNA from 1 species